rnacentral:lncRNA from 1 species
UCUUUUCUGCAUUGCCGGAUGAAGAAGGAACGGAGAAGGGAGACUUGGCCUGAUGCUUGGAUGGGACCCCAUUGGUCUGCUAAACCUCCUUUUGAUGUGCCGCUGGACCCAGACUGUGGAAAGCGAUUGCUGCCUGUGCCAGUUUCUUGGAAGAAUUCCCACUUCUUAGCCUCUCUACUCCCUUUCUCCCUCAUCGGGAAGUACUCAGAGGGCUCUAAACCAAAAUUGACUCUCAACCAGUGGGCACAAUUUUAAUUGGAAAUUAAAAGAUGAAGUACACGGGCUCAUCUUCUAAAUAACGGUGAUUUCUCCACUCUUUCACCCCCCUCUUGACUCCCCCACCCCCCGGCCUUUCAUUAAUCGGUGAGGGGUAUUUAUUGAGCACUUAUUAUGUGGGAGAACGUUU